rnacentral:rRNA from 1 species
UACGUAGGGGGCUAGCGUUGUCCGGAUUUAUUGGGCGUAAAGAGCGUGUAGGCGGCCAGGUAGGUCUGCUGUGAAAACUCGAGGCUCAACCUCGAGACGUCGGCGGAAACCAUCUGGCUAGAGUCCGGAAGAGGAGAGUGGAAUUCCCAGUGUAGAGGUGAAAUUCGUAGAUAUUGGGAAGAACACCGGUGGCGAAGGCGGCGCUCUGGACCGAGACUGACGCUGAGGCGCGAAAGCGUGGGGAGCAAACAGG